GGGUUAAUCAUGGGAAAGACUCGGGGCAUGGGAACAGGGCGUUGUAGACCCAUAGGGUUACCACGUCCUCGCCGUUCUCUAUUCCGACCUCUCUCAGUCGGAGAAAGAUGCUUACAACGAAAGAGAUUGGCCGCGCUGCGUCGCACGAAGAAUACACUAGGCUCUCAAGUCUCGUUGCCUAUCAAAUCAGAUAAGAGUCUGAAGAGAACUGAUCAGACCACUUUGUCUCCGGAACUGAUAUUCAGGGAAAGUUGUCGUCUGAUGUUGUUGCUAGCACCUCGAAGCCUCAGACGUCAUCAUCAAGGUUGUCCUAUUUGUAAUUUUGAUUAUUCUCUCUAUAAUUAAGCAGUAGCUAGGUGGUAUUUGUUGUUA